AAGAAAUUAACGAAGAUUUCCCUAGUAACGGCGAGUGAAAAGGAAUAAGCUCAGCGCUGAAUCCCUUAGCCUUUAGUUAAGGGACCUGUAGCGUAAAGGAGAGCCUAUCUGUCGAGUUACGACUUCGGAAGCUUCCUUGAAUGGAACCCCAAAGCAGGUGCGAGGCCUGUAACGAAGUUAAACUCGGCGGUUUGCGCCUCUAUAGAGUCGGGUUGCUUGAGAGUGCAGCCCUAAGUCGAAGGUAAACCCCUUCUAAAGCUAAAUAUGACCACGAGACCGAUAGCGAACAAGUACCGCGAGGGAAAGUUGAAAAGAACUUUGAGGAGAGAGUUCAAAAGGGCGUGAAACCGCUUAGAAUAAAACGGACGGAGCCGUCGGGCGCCUUCGGAAAUCAGUUAAUCGAAAGCGAAAAGCGUUUUAGUCGGAAUGAACUAGUACGACUAGAGCGUUGUAGUAGCGAUCGUUUAAUGCAUUUUUCGAAGGUUAGCAUCGCGACCGAUACGAAAGGCUGGUGAAGCGAUUCGAUUGAGGGCGACACCCUUUACGGGGUAUCGUAACCAGUCUUAUCGCCCUAGUCGCCAGACCGCAGUAGUAUCGGGCACUUUAAAAAUUAAAAUAUAUAUCGGCAGUAAAGCUCGACGAGUAGCGGAUAUUCGGUCGACUGAUUAACGCCUGCUCGCAGGUGUCGAUUAGUCCGGCUCGAUUUAGAAGUCGCCGUCGACGUAUCGAUAUAUAGGUGUCAGCGAUGUCAGCGUCGGUCACCCGUCCGACCCGUCUUGAAACACGGACCAAGGAGUCUAACAUAUGCGCGAGCUAAUGGGUGGCAAACCCAAAAGCGCAAUAAAAGUAAACGCUGUUUCGGACAGCUAAGGUACGAUCCUAGGUUCGCCCUGGGCGCAGUACCGUCCCGUCUUAACCGCAUGUCGGUAGGGCGGAGAUAGAGCGUAUACGUUGGGACCCGAAAGAUGGUGAACUAUGCCUGAGCAGAGCGAAGCCAGAGGAAACUCUGGUGGAGGUUCGUAGCGGUUCUGACGUGCAAAUCGAUCGUCAGACUUGGGUAUAGGGGCGAAAGACUAAUCGAACCAUC
rnacentral:rRNA from 1 species